UCUGACUUUUAAUCAGAGGGUCAGAGGUUCGAAUCCUCUAUGGCUCA
rnacentral:tRNA from 1 species